GACGAACGCUGGCGGCGUGCUUAACACAUGCAAGUCGAACGGAAAGGCCUCUUUCGGGGGGUACUCGAGUGGCGAACGGGUGAGUAACACGUGAGUAACCUGCCCUUGACUUUGGGAUAACUUCAGGAAACUGGGGCUAAUACCGGAUAGGAGCUCCUGCUGCAUGGCGGGGGUUGGAAAGUUUCGGCGGUUGGGGAUGGACUCGCGGCUUAUCAGCUUGUUGGUGGGGUAGUGGCUUACCAAGGCUUUGACGGGUAGCCGGCCUGAGAGGGUGACCGGCCACAUUGGGACUGAGAUACGGCCCAGACGCCUACGGGAGGCAGCAGUGGGGAAUAUUGCACAAUGGGUGGAAGCCUGAUGCAGCAACGCCGUGUGCGGGAUGACGGCCUUCGGGUUGUAAACCGCUUUCGCUCAUGACGAAGCUUUGUGUGACGGUAGUGGGUAAAGAAGCACCGGCUAACUACGUG
rnacentral:rRNA from 1 species